GCGGGCCCGCUCCGCCCCGCCCUUGGCCGCGCUCCGCUGCCAUCGGAACCGGCCGCGUGCCCCGGCACUGCCCCAGCACUGGGGGGCGUCGGGACGGCGACCGGGGCUGCGACUGAUUCUGAGAUCGGCACCGGGCUCGACAGCGGGACUGGGAAUGGGACUAGCACUGGCACCGAGACAGAUAUCGGCACCGCCACGGCCAUGGGAACUGGGAUCGACACUGGGACUGGGACUGACUCCGGGACUGGCACCGACACGAGGAUGGGGAUCGGCAGCGGAACUAGGAACGGGACCGGCACCGAGACCGGCGCUGGAACCGAAACCGGAAGCGGCACCAGGACUCGGACCUAGACAGGGACUGGGACCGGCCCCGGCACCCAGAUUGGCACUGGGACCCGCCCCGGCACCCAGAUUGGCACUGGGACCNGCCCCGGCACCCAGAUUGGCACUGGGACCCGCCCCGGCACCCAGAUUGGCACUGGGACCCGAAUUGCCAUCGCGAUCGGGACUGCGACCAAGACCGACGCUGGGAUAGGUAUCGGGUCGGGGAUAGGAACCGGGGAUAGGUCACCGGGGCCAGCACCAGGACUGGAGCCACCCUGCCCAGAGCACCCCGUUCCCGCAGCCCGGUGCCUUCCUCUUUCCCAUCCCCUUGAAACAGCCGGUCCCGGGGGCACCUCCCUCCCCGGGAGCCCCAGGAAGGGCUUGGAGGGGCAGGUGUGGAUCGAGGGGAACCCUGGGUGGGGCCUGAAGGAAACUCUCUUCCCUGGAGCAGUGCUGGGAGUGGGGCAAAGAUGGCCUCAUGCCCUUGGAGGAGCCCUUCAGAAAAUGAUGAAGGUCCCAAGGGACCACUUGAAGUGGUCCCUGAAGGCGAUCUGUGAGGAGCACUGGGGCCAAAAGGUCCAAGGGGCUACUGACUGCUCAGGGCAGCCCCAGGGAGGGCCAAAGGAUACCUCAAAGAGUGCUUGUUCCCCCGUAGCCAUCCUGGGGGAGGCUGUGCUGAGUCCAGCCUGUGGAGCUGGAAACACUUGCAGAAGGGAUCUCAGACCAGCAGGACGUGUCAUGGGAGAGAUGUUUCAAACCCCUGUACUUGCUUCUCCUGAUGUAUGUGUAAACAGUUUGAGGAUUUCAGCUGAAUCCUCACUCAUUUGGUCGGGGUCCGUGGGUGUUUGUGUUGCUUGAAGCAGCAGACUUGUCUCCCUCGUCAUGGGCUGUUGGGCUUCGCCUGCUCCGUGGAGCCCCUGAGAGGGCUGGUGGGAUCUCGGGAUCUUCCCAGGCAGGGUGAGUGCCUGUUCUGCUCCUGGCAGGCGUUUGCCUGAGCUGUUCCUCCCUGGCACACCCAGUGCUGAGCUCCGGAGGUCACCGAGCACCUCCCUCACACCCCGCAGCCAGAAACGCUCCCGAAUCUUGGCCUGGGAGAUCAGGUACCUCCCUUCCUUUUCGCAGGAUUGCUUCUCAGCAGCAUCACAGCUGUGACACUUUCUCUGUGCCCAUGUCCCUACUCUGUGCCCUCAUCUCUUCUCUCUGCCCACGUCCUCUCCCUGUGACCGUGUUCCUUCUCCAUGCCCACCUCUCCAGCCCCGUUUCCAGUGGCUCCCGGAGGAUGACUCCAAACUGAUGCAGAGCUGUCCAAAUCCAGCUCCUCAGUGACAUCUUGUGCUGGGAAUGCUCAGCGCAGGCUGGGAAAAAGUUCCUGCAAUUGUUUUUUCCUGCCCUCUGACAUUGCUGUAGUGAAACCACGGGGAUUCCCUGAGCUCAUUUGUAAGGUUUCUUUGGGAACAUCUUGUCCUUUCGUGGAGACAGCCAGACAGUGGUAUUGCCUUUGACAGAGCUGGGUACAAAGCUCUGGAAAAGCAUCCACUUCCUUCAAAACAUUCCCUGUGCUCUUUUGUACCAUUUAGACAAUAAUAAUAAUUCACCCAAAGUUCCUCACUGUGAUGAGACUGCACAUAUGAAUUCUUGGGAUGCAAUUCAAACCUUGUUUCUCAGCCAAUUGCCAGAGAGAAAAUUCCCUUCAAAGGCUCUAAUGGCACCAGUCACCCCUGGGAAACACUUGCCUGGUCUUAACAGGGAAAGCUUCCAAGUGCUGCCUGCUGUGCCAGCAGAGCUGCAGCCCUGCAGCAUCCAGAUGAGUGCAAAACCAGGUCUGAGUUUCUGAAGAAACUUUACUUUUAGACUCAAACUCAGAAAUGAAAUGUUAAAAAGCCACUUUUUGAUGGAAGUAAAAUCUGAUGGGGUUUCUUUCAGGGUGGUAGUACCUGAAGCAGAGGAUAUCCCUGAGCUGGCAGCCCUGCCAGUGGCAGGGAGACCAACAAGGGAUGCUCCAGACUGCUGUGGAGACUGUACCAAGCCCUUGUGGGUCACCGUGGCCUUGCAGAGCACUGACCCCCAACUCCCAAUACCCCUUGGCUGUGACAUUAUGCCCUCGAGGCCACUGUCCCCAUCCCCACCAUGCCCAGGCACCUGCUGAUGGUGGCUGCAGCUGGCAUGGGAAGCUCAGUCAGCCCGUGGCUGGAACACACAUCACAGACACAACCAUGCUGCUAUAUCACACCUGGGGAACAUGGCUGAGGCUGGAAAACACACAUUCAAGUCUUUCCUUGGGCACUCUCGUCAUGAUGGGAAUAAAUCCAGGAGAAGCUGUUAUGGAUGGCUUGAGAAGCUGUAAAAUGUGAAGAAACAUUUAAAUGUGAUACAAAUGGGCGAGGAGGGAAUUUGGCACAGGAGGAGAUGCAGUUCAGAAGUGGAGGCCAUACCAUGCAUAUUUCAUGGGCUAGCCCUCAGCAGAGGCUUCUUUGACACCACAAAUAUCACAUACGGCAAGGAGCAACAGCAGCCACUCCCAGCAUCUGGGAAGGACAAACUGUGGGGUGAUUGCUCCUCCUGCCUCAUGGUAGAAGUAGGCCAAGGCACAGGACCUGGAAACUGCUGGCUCUGCUUCUUGAGUGUGGGACCAGCCUUCCUCACCUUCCUCUUCCUUCAGCCCUGUGCCAGGCUAGGGGCAAGCCUGCCCCAUCCUUGGGGCUGGGGCUCUGACCUUGCUGUCUCACAUAAAUAAACACUCAGGGAUGGAAAAUUUCAAGCCCUCCAGCCCUGCUGCCCCAGCACUCUGUGCUUCCAGCAUUGCUCCUCUGAGGUUUCCUUGGAGAAUGCUGACUCAGGUCCUUCUCUGUUAGGUGUUUCUCACUGAUCAUAUGCCUGAUUUGUGCCCAGCACCUGUGCUACCAAAUCAUUCCCACUGCAGGCCAGCAUGCAGGAGGGACACCUGCACUGUGUGGGAGCAGAAUGGAUCCUCAGCUGUUAUCAGGCUCUAUCAUAGGUACCCCUUGAGCAGCAGGUGCUGGGGUGGCAGGAGCUGGGUGGGUCAGAGUCUGACAUGGAUCCACUGAAAAAAACCCAAGAGAAGGUGGACUUGAGGAUGGCACUUCCCAAAUUGCAGCCAUGUAUGGGUUCUCAUCUUGUAGGGGGUUAUUUUUCUUCACAGGAGACUUCAUCUCCCUCUGUGCAACUCUUCAGGGAGAAUUCCACAUCCACUACUGUCCCCUCUGAGGGGAUAGACCCCUGUGGGGUGCACAGGAACUCCCACACUGAGGAUGGGGUGUGUUUGGAUGAGUUGCUACUCUCAGACCCUCCCAAGCCCCCUGUCAGCCUCAGUGUCACCCUCCUGGGGAUCACUGACUUGUGCCACAUUAUGGACCACAUUCAGGCAGCAGGAUGGAGGAACCAGCCUUCCUUCUCACAGCUGGGGAACCAGGGAACUGCAUCCUUCCCCUUGCACUUGGUGCUGCAGAGGUUGGCCCUGGGAGGUUCAGCUGCUCCAGCAGGAUUAGGGGUGAUGCCCAUCCAGGUGUGGUACAGGCAGGUGAGGCUGCAGCACUUGGUGUCCUGCCUCUGUGAGACCAGAAUAGGAGUUUUGGGAACUUGCUGGUUACCUGGGGAAUCACAGGGUGGGAGCUCCAGCUCCUGGGGCAUUCCUUUGGAUUGGGGUCCCUGGAGAGAGCAGCUGAGCACUGCCACAGACCCGGCAGAGGAAAGAGAUGCUGGGUGGCUCCUCUUGCAGCUGAUCUCCUGGCCAGCCCAGACCUUGCUUUCCCAGCAUGGCUGGGAUUUUGAAAGCUGGGCUGUGUUCUGAUACCUGGAAUUUUCCACUUGCAUCCCAAUGAUUUUUGGUGAGUUGCUUGCAGCCUAAGAAAUAAAUAUGCUCUUGAUUCUUCCUGUGAGUUCCUGGGUGGGACUCAGCAGCCAUGUGAAAAUACCCAGGUGAAUUCCUGUUUCCAUAAAGGUCAAUGCUGUUAAAAAAAUAAGUUGCCUCUGAAAGGGAACCUAGGAGACACCCAAGGCAGGGAAAGACACAGCAGACUUACCACAUCAGUUAAUUCUAUUUUUUUGCAGAGAGUCCUUCUCUUUUUCCAUCCACUGGAAGAAGGGGGUCAUGUGAGAUGUCCACAAGUGUGCUUGGGGGAAAAGGAACAUCAGUGGAGACCUGAAACAAUUUUGCUGCUCUUACAGCUGAGAAAAGAUCACGCUGGAAGGUUUCUGUGGAAGUGGGGCCUGGGGAAUGGACAUGAGAAACUUUUUUUUCCCAGCUGACUCCCUUGGCGGCCCUUGCCUGCCUGGGAAGGCCAAUGGAGCCAAAGGUCGCAGGUGCCCUGUGGGACCCCAGCGAGGUGGUGACAUGGGCAGAGCUCCCUGCAGCACCUGGAGGCAAGCACACAUCAUGGGACUGGGGACAAGCUCCUGAGGCUGGAGCAGGGCAACUCCAACCCUCCCUUACCCUUGAGGAGCUGGCUGCUCCUUAUUGAUUAAUGUGGUGGCUCAUUUCUCCAAAAAUAGGCUCUGUACUGAGCCCCUGGAAACAGAUUUGUCUCACAGCAAAACCUGAUUGAUUCAAGGGCAGCUGCAGCUCCAGCAAGGGCCUGGUGGCCACAGAGCCUGGAUGGUCCCUGCCAGAGACAGCUUCUGGCUAGAGGAGGUUUCAGGCUGGUUCAGGUCAGUUCCCAGCUCACAGCUGAUGGAUAUUUGUUUUUUCCAAGUGUCAUUUGGUUUUUCUUCUUAACUUUCUGUGUCUGUAAUUGCAAGCAAGUGGCACUGAGGGGCACUUGGACUUCUCUUCCAGUGGAACAAAAUAGGAGGAAGAAUAUUCAUUUUUCCCUAGUGCUCCUGAACUGUCUGUAAAGAAGGGAAAAAGCUGUUCUGGUUCCCCCCCUCCCUCUCUUUCUUUCCUUCUUUCUCUCUUUUGUGUUGUUUUCCCACCUUCUUCCUUUACAUGGACAAAUACUUUGUGGGAACCUUCAUGCUUUUCCCUUAUUCUCCUGUCCCAAAGAAGGAGUGUAAGAUCCCAAAAAGGCUGGAAAAAAAAAAAAGUUGAAAAUAGAGUUGAAAAUAGAUUUAUUUUCUGGGGUUGUUCAUCUCUUGAGUUUGGGUUUUUGUCAGGAGUGUCUUGUCAUGUCCUGGAGGUGGAGAGGGGGUAUUCAAGAGCCCUGUGGGUCUCCCACCCUCCCUCAAGCACCCCAAUCUCUGUGGGGAGUACAGGGGCCUUCUGAGACAAAUGAAGGAGAGAAGGGAAGAGUGGCUGCAGUUGCUGGCUGCCAGCCCUGGCCCUGUGUGAAGGCUGCCCAUCACUUGACUGACCAGCUGGACACUGCUCUCUAUCUGCUCUCAUCCAGGCUCCAUGACUGCUGUGUCUCACUCCUCCUGCACAUUCCCCAUGGGCUCUGUCCUGUGAUCCCAGCCAGUCCCUGCCCUAGAGCUGGAAUGGGCACCAGAGGGCCAGGGGAUGCUCAGAGAACCCUGAACUCCACAUCCAAACCCAUGGGCCCUUGCUUACUGCGUGGACUACAGGUCCUUGCUGCCUGCUCAUAGGUUUCUUUACCCUUUAUAUUUUACUUUUUUCAAGGCUGAAUCUUUCACACUGGUGGUUGUGUACCUUCAUUUUUCUCAUUCAAAGUUUCUUACAGUUGAAGUUUUAUGGGUAAUUUUUUAAAUCUUUGCCCAAGGAAGUAUCAAAGGGAGCAUCCCUCCUCAGAGGGAUUCAAGCCAUUGCAUCCACAGGGGAAGCUCACCUUGCUGAGCCCCAUUCCUGCUGUCACAGCUGUGACAGCCACCCCAGGACAGGGGAGAACACAGGACAGAGCCCCUCAAGAGCUCUGGAGGACAGUCCAGCAGGGGGACAUUGGGCUGGGGAUAGCAGUGCUGGCAGCUGUCACCAGAACUCACACCUCGACUCUGUGAGAACUCAAAUCAUUUUUCAACAUCAUCAGCCAAAUUUCUGCAGAUUUUCCUGGGGACAGGAGAAGGUAACACUCCCAAGUCCCUGUUCCUCAAGCUAGCAACUUGACAGCUUCCCACUGGAAUGACAGAAUUUUGUUUUCUUAAUGCAGGCCAAAGUAAUUUCCUCUCAUUAGAGCUGCUGAUACAGCUGGAAAAAGUGAGCUGUCUCUCCAAAGACUCAUUUUCCAGUGAAGGGCAGCAUCCCCCCAGCAGAUCUCGGGGUGUUUGCCUGCCCCAGCUUCUUGUCCUUCUGGCUAUGGCUCUUUGCACGGAAACUUGGAAAGAAAAAUACUCAGGGAUGGAAAAUUUCAAGCUUUGGUAAAGUUGGACAGAAUCCAGGUGAGACUUGGCAGAGAGACCCAGCAAAGGUUUUUCUUUGUGCUGACAUUUUUGCUCUGUGCUUUGGAGAGCCUCUCUGCAGCUCUGCUCCAGCCAGGUCAGGCUCUGCCAGUGUAAGAGGUGAUGUUAACACCACCACGUGUGACUUUCUCUGGGUUUUCCCAAUUAUUUAUUUUUUUAUUGUCUCUGGAGCUGUGGAUAUUUCAGAAGCAGACACUGCAGUGGUUUUACAUCCUGUGGGGAUGGCUGUCCCAUCAGCCCACCCCACUCCCAGAGGUGGCUCAGAGGCUUUGAUCCUCUGGCUGCUUGUCCACAGCAGACACUGCACAUUAUGGUAGCACCAGAACAACCCUGACACAGCCCAGAUAAAUCACCUGAUGGAAAGGAGGAGCUGGGAUUUUGUUGCAAACUCUGGUUACUGGUAACCAAAAGCAAAGAAUUACUCUGUAUCUGUGUGUUUCUGGCUGGCUCUGGGAUGCAGGUGAGGGUGAACAGGGGACAUGCUGUAGAUUGCUGUGACUCCAUCUCCCUUCUGUGAAUUCUUCCACCCAUACCUUGCCAGAGGAUGCCAACCCAUCCCUGCACAGUUUGAGGAGCUCUGCAGAAGGACCUUCAUGGCCUGUCCUGAGUCCUGGGCUCCUCUACACCAGGAAGGACUGGCACUCCUUGUGGACCCCAGGACUCACUGAGAAAGUCCCCAAAUGCUGACGUCAAAGGCCUCAAAUUUCACCUGUGGAGAAACAAGGGGAUUAUAUCUGAGUCAUUCCAAAGUUGAAACAAUUUUUGUUUGUCUUUAUGCUCCAGGCAUUUUAUUUAUUUAUUUAUUUGUUUAUUUAUUUAUUUUUAAAAAAGAGAAAGGCAGCAAAUUCAAGGUAAAAUAAAAGCAAUUUGAAGAUGAGAGAUGAACCUACUCUGCUGUAAAUUUGGAGAAGCCAUCACCAAAUCUGAUGUGGGGUUGCUGUCCUCUCCUUCCCUCCAGGGAGCACUGUGGCAUCUCCUUUCCCUGGAUUUUGGAGAGAAUGGAUUUGUCUUUCUUACCCAGAGACAGAAAUAAAGCUCCAACAACCUGCC